rnacentral:lncRNA from 1 species
CUUAAGGUUUUGGUGCAACACCCUGUUGAGCAACUCUUGACGUGAUUUGUCCGGUAGAUGCUAGGGGGAGUGUUUUCAGUGCAAUUUCCUAAUAUCUUUCUCUGUGCUGAAUUGUUUGGUUGGUUGUUGAGUUCUGAUAGCUUUGGGUCUCUGCUCCUCUAAUGGUUUCAUUAUGAGCAUGGGAAACCACACGAGAAUAUUUUGGAUCACCUCCAAAAGUUCAAUCUUGUGAAUUAUGGCCCAUCUAUUAAGAGCGAAAAUAACUUGA